UCCUACGGGGGGCAGCAGUGGGGAAUAUUGCACAAUGGGGGGAACCCUGAUGCAGCGACGCCGCGUGAGGGAAGAAGGUUUUUGGAUUGUAAACCUCUGUCCUUGGUAAAGAAGCAAGACGGUAGCCAAGGAGGAAGCCACGGCUAACUACGUGCCAGCAGCCGCGGUAAUACGUAGGUGGCAAGCGUUGUCCGGAAUUACUGGGUGUAAAGGGAGCGCAGGCGGGAAGCCAAGUCAGCUGUGAAAACUACGGGCUUAACUUGUAGA
rnacentral:rRNA from 1 species